rnacentral:misc_RNA from 1 species
AGAUUCAGAUGAAAUGAAUACUCCAGCAUUAAAUGGAAAUGAGGGAACACAGAAUAGACAAGAAUCAUCCGAUGUAAGUCUUAUACUCCGGGGGACAUCCGAAAAAAGCAACAGCCAUCUUCUAUAACAGAAGUAAUGAUAUUAGAUACAGAAGCAGCUGUUAUAGCGAAUUUUGAAUUUUUGGGACAUACAGACAUGGACAUGGAAGAGGAAGAAGGAGAUGUAGAGGAUGAAAUUUAUGAUGCAAAUACGGAUACCAAACCAAAUAAAGCAUCUAUCUCCCUUCUAGCGGAAGGUGUUGAUACAGAUGCAGAGGCAGAAGAAGUAUUAAAUGAAUUAAAUCUCCUCACAGAAAUUGAAGAAUCGCCACCUGGUUCUAUCCAUCUGAAAAUGAAUUCUUCAAAGGGAUUUAUUACAUAGAGGAUUACAAGAUCCAAGUCGCCUAAAUAAUAAAGAAGGCGGUGACUCCACGCUGGAAUUAGGAGAAUUAGAACAAUUAUGUGUUAACAAUGAUGCAGAAAUAUCGUACGAUAUGGUUUCCACCACGAAGGAGACCUUCAGAAAAACAUGGAACGCUAAAUAUACGUUACG